rnacentral:rRNA from 1 species
UAGGGAAUCUUCCGCAAUGGGCGAAAGCUUGACGGAGCAACGCCGCGUGAGUGAUGAAGGUCUUCGGAUCGUAAAACUCUGUUAUUAGGGAAGAACAAAUGUGUAAGUAACUAUGCACGUCUUGACGGUACCUAAUCAGAAAGCCACGGCUAACUACGUGCCAGCAGCCGCGGUAAUACGUAGGUGGCAAGCGUUAUCCGGAAUUAUUGGGCGUAAAGCGCGCGUAGGCGGUUUUUUAAGUCUGAUGUGAAAGCCCACGGCUCAACCGUGGAGGGUCAUUGGAAACUGGAAAACUUGAGUGCAGAAGAGGAAAGUGGAAUUCCAUGUGUAGCGGUGAAAUGCGCAGAGAUAUGGAGGAACACCAGUGGCGAAGGCGACUUUCCGGUCUGUAACUGACGCUGAUGUGCGAAAGCGUGGGGAUCAAACAGG